rnacentral:rRNA from 1 species
UGCGGCGAGCGAGCGGGAAGAGCUCAAAUUUAUAAUCUGGCACCUUCGGUGUCCGAGUUGUAAUCUCUAGAAGUGUUUUCCGCGUUGGACCGCACACAAGUCUGUUGGAAUACAGCGGCAUAGUGGUGAAACCCCCGUAUAUGGUGCGGACGCCCAGCGCUUUGUGAUACACUUUCAAUGAGUCGAGUUGUUUGGGAAUGCAGCUCAAAUUGGGUGGUAAAUUCCAUCUAAAGCUAAAUAUUGGCGAGAGACCGAUAGCGAACAAGUACCGUGAGGGAAAGAUGAAAAGCACUUUGGAAAGAGAGUUAACAGUACGUGAAAUUGUUGGAAGGGAAACGCUUGAAGUCAGACUUGCUUGCCGGAGCUUGCUUCGGUUUGCAGGCCAGCAUCAGUUUUCCGGGGUGGAUAAUGACGGUUUGAAGGUAGCAGUCUCGGCUGUGUUAUAGCUUUCCGUUGGAUACAUCCUGGGGGACUGAGGAACGCAGCGUGCUUUUUGCGAAAGACUCGUCUUUUUCACGCUUAGGAUGCUGGUGGAAUGGCUUUAAACGACCCGUCUA